AGAGUUUGAUCCUGGCUCAGGACGAACGCUGGCGGCGCGCCUAACACAUGCAAGUCGAACGGGACUAUGCUGGAAGAAGUUUUCGGAUGGAUUUUGGUAUAGUUUAGUGGCGGACGGGUGAGUAACACGUGAGCAACCUGCCUUCGAGAGGGGAAUAACGGCUGGAAACGGUCGCUAAUACCGCAUAAUAUACAGGAGGGACAUCCCUUUUGUAUCAAAGAUUUAUCGCUCGAAGAUGGGCUCGCGUCCGAUUAGGUAGUUGGUGAGGUAACGGCCCACCAAGCCGACGAUCGGUAGCCGGACUGAGAGGUUGAACGGCCACAUUGGGACUGAGACACGGCCCAGACUCCUACGGGAGGCAGCAGUGGGGGAUAUUGCACAAUGGGGGAAACCCUGAUGCAGCGACGCCGCGUGUGGGAAGACGGUCCUCUGGAUUGUAAACCACUGUCCCCAGGGACGAAGAUGACGGUACCUGGGGAGGAAGCUCCGGCUAACUACGUG
rnacentral:rRNA from 1 species